rnacentral:rRNA from 1 species
CCCUUAGAUGUUCUGGGCCGCACGCGCGCUACGCUGAUGCAUUCAACGAGCCUAUCCUUGACCGACAGGUCCGGGUAAUCUUUGAAUCUGCAUCGUGACGGGGAUAGAUUAUUGCAAUUAUUAAUCUUCAACGAGGAAUGCCUAGUAGGCGCAAGUCAUCAGCUUGCGUCGAUUACGUCCCUGCCCUUUGUACACACCGCCCGUCGCUCCUACCGAUUGGGUGUGCUGGUGAAAUGUUCGGAUCGGCCGUUUGUCGCGGUUUCCGCGUCAUGUGGCUGAGAAGUUCAUUAAACCCUCCCACCUAGAGGAAGGAGAAGUCGUAACA